GCCCUACGGGAGGCAUCAGUGAUUACUCUUGGUCACUGUCCUCCGGGCUGAACCAGCCAAGUCGCGUGAGGGAUGACGGUCCUAUGGAUUGUAAACCUCUUUUGUCAGGGAGCAAAGGGCGCCACGUGUGGCGCUUUGCGAGUACCUGAAGAAAAAGCAUCGGCUAACUCCGUGCCAGCAGCCGCGGUAAUACGGAGGAUGCGAGCGUUAUCCGGAUUUAUUGGGUUUAAAGGGUGCGCAGGCGGAAUGUCAAGUCAGCGGUAAAAUUUCGGGGCUCAACCCCGUCGUGCCGUUGAAACUGGCGU
rnacentral:rRNA from 1 species